rnacentral:rRNA from 1 species
UAACGGGGGGAGCAAGCGUUGGUUCGGAUUUACUGGGCGUUAAAGGGCGGCGUAGGCGGUCGGUGACAAGUCACUUGAUGAAAUCUCCGGGCUUAACUCCGGAACGGUCAAGUGAGUAACUGUCGGACUAGAGUACAGAAGGGGCAACGUGGAAUUCUCGGGUGUAGCGGUGAAAAUGCGUAGAUAUCGAGAGGAACACCUGCGGCGAAGCGGGUGCUGGGCGUGACUACUGACGCUGAGGCACGAAAGCGUGGGGAGCAAACAGG